rnacentral:lncRNA from 1 species
CUGCAAAGGAAACAGGCGCAGUCUGGGACCUGUGGGCGCACCCCUGCCCCCCACGCCGCCUCAGCCUGGGGUCUGCACGGAACAUGCUUAGGGCUGGUGGGCACGGUGCCUGCUGCUGUGUGGACUGCAGCACAGGGGCUGCCCGUAUUCUUCCUGAAGACUCCCCUGAGCCUCUCUGCCCCCGGUAGGGGUCAUGGCUGCUCCAGCUGGAAGCGCUACACGUGGGCACACGGACCAGACGGAAGGAGCUGCCAGCAAUAGCAAAGCUGAUCUAGCCCAGGUCCCUGACACUGAAGGUGGGGAUGCUGUGGGUCACACAGGACAGGGGCUGCCACAGUCCCAGCCCCCAGGCUGCCCCAGAAC